rnacentral:rRNA from 1 species
GACGAACGCUGGCGGCGUGCUUAAAACAUGCAAGUCGAACGGACUUCUCAUGAAGCUUGCGAUUGAGAAGUUAGUGGCGGACGGGUGAGUAACGCGUGGGCAACCUGCCCCUGAGCCCGGGAUAACAGUUCGAAAGGACUGCUAAGACCGGAUAUACUUGCGGGGAAGCAUUUCACUGCAAGGAAAGGGAACGCUCAGGGAUGGGCCCGCGUCCCAUUAGCUAGUUGGUGAGGUAACGGCCCACCAAGGCGACGAUGGGUAGCCGGCCUGAGAGGGUGAACGGCCACACUGGGACUGAGACACGGCCCAGACUCCUACGGGAGGCAGCAGUUGGGAAUCUUCGGCAAUGGGCGCAAGCCUGACCGAGCAACGCCGCGUGAGUGAUGAAGGUUUUCGGAUUGUAAAGCUCUGUCUUCCGGGACGAUAAUGACGGUACCGGAGGAGGAAGCCACGGCUAACUACGUGCCAGCAGCCGCGGUAACACGAGAGUA